UACAGAGGUGGCAAGCGUUGUUCGGAAUUACUGGGCGUAAAGGGCGCGUAGGCGGCCUUCUAAGUCAGACGUGAAAUCCCCCGGCUUAACCUGGGAACUGCGUCUGAUACUGGGAGGCUUGAGUAUGGGAGAGGGAUGUAGAAUUCCAGGUGUAGCGGUGAAAUGCGUAGAUAUCUGGAGGAAUACCGGUGGCGAAGGCGGCUAUCUGGCCCGUAAUUGACGCUGAGGCGCGAAAGCGUGGGGAGCAAACAGG
rnacentral:rRNA from 1 species